GUGGGAAAUAUUGGACAAUGGGCGCAAGCCUGAUCCAGCCAUGCCGCGUGAGUGAUGAAGGCCCUAGGGUUGUAAAGCUCUUUCACCGGAGAAGAUAAUGACGGUAUCCGGAGAAGAAGCCCCGGCUAACUUCGUGCCAGCAGCCGCGGUAAUACGAAGGGGGCUAGCGUUGUUCGGAAUUACUGGGCGUAAAGCGCACGUAGGCGGACAUUUAAGUCAGGGGUGAAAUCCCGGGGCUCAACCCCGGAACUGCCUUUGAUACUGGGUGUCUGGAGGAUGGAAGAGGUAAGUGGAAUUCCGAGUGUAGAGGUGAAAUUCGUAGAUAUUCGGAGGAACACCAGUGGCGAAGGCGGCUUACUGGUCCAUUACUGACGCUGAGGUGCGAAAGCGUGGGGAGCAAACAGGAUUAGAUACCCGAGUAGUCC
rnacentral:rRNA from 1 species